CUUCAACGAGCCCAGCCACAGCGGCCGUUCGGCCGGCCGCUGCUGCCCGUAGGUGGCCAGCAGGGCCUGCGCCUC
rfam:Streptomyces rubellomurinus strain ATCC 31215 contig-152, whole genome shotgun sequence.